AACGCUAGCUACAGGCUUAACACAUGCAAGUCGAGGGGCAGCGCAGUGUAGCAAUACAUGGGCGGCGACCGGCGCACGGGUGCGUAACGCGUAUCCAACCUUCCCGUUACUCAGGGAUAGCCUUCCGAAAGGGAGAUUAAUACCUGAUGGUGUUUGAAUUCCGCAUGUUAUUCAAACUAAAGAUUUAUCGGUAACGGAUGGGGAUGCGUGACAUUAGGUAGAUGGCGGGGUAACGGCCCACCAUGCCUACGAUGUCUAGGGGUUCUGAGAGGAAGGUCCCCCACACUGGAACUGAGACACGGUCCAGACUCCUACGGGAGGCAGCAGUGAGGAAUAUUGGUCAAUGGUCGGAAGACUGAACCAGCCAAGUAGCGUGAAGGAUGAAGGUUCUAUGGAUUGUAAACUUCUUUUAUACGGGAAUAAAACCUCCCACGUGUGGGAGCUUGUAUGUACCGUAUGAAUAAGCAUCGGCUAACUCCGUGCCAGCAGCCGCGGUAAUACGGAGGAUGCGAGCGUUAUCCGGAUUUAUUGGGUUUAAAGGGAGCGUAGACGGGAGAUUAAGUCAGUUGUGAAAGGCUGCGGCUCAACCGCAGCACUGCAGUUGAUACUGGUUUCCUUGAGUGCGGUUGAGGUGUAUGGAAUUCGUGGUGUAGCGGUGAAAUGCUUAGAUAUCACGA
rnacentral:rRNA from 1 species